rnacentral:rRNA from 1 species
AAGACCUUGCGCUUUUGGAGCGGCCGAUGUCUGAUUAGCUUGUUGGUAAGGUAAAAGCUUACCAAGGCUUCGAUCAGUAGCUGGUCUGAGAGGACGGCCAGCCACACUGGGACUGAGACACGGCCCAGACUCCUACGGGAGGCAGCAGUGGGGAAUUUUAGACAAUGGGGGCAACCCUGAUCCAGCCAUGCCGCGUGAGUGAAGAAGGCCUUCGGGUUGUAAAGCUCUUUCAGCCGGAACGAAACGGUUACGGUUAAUACCCGUGAUUACUGACGGUACCGGAAGAAGAAGCACCGGCUAACUACGUGCCAGCAGCCGCGGUAGUACGUAGGGUGCGAGCGUUAAUCGGAAUUACUGGGCGUAAAGCGUGCGCAGGUGGUUUUGUAAGUCAGAUGUGAAAGCCCCGGGCUCAACCUGGGAACU